UAUCUGGUUGAUCCUGCCUGAACUGAUGUGUUCAUUUCAAAGAUUAAGCCAUGCAUGUAUAAGUUUAAUCGUUUUAACGAGAAACCGCGAACGGCUCAUUACAAUGGCCAUGAUUUACUUGAUCUUGAUUAUCUAAAUGGAUAACUGUGGAAAAGCUAGAGCUAAUACAUGCACCAAAGCUUUGUCCUCUCGGAAAAGCGCAUUUAUUAGAACAAAACCACGCGGCUUCGGCUGCUUCUUGUUGACUCAGAAUAACUAAGCUGACCGCAUGGCCUUGUGCCGGCGGCGUGUCUUUCAAGCGUCCACUUUAUCAACUUGACGGGAGCAUAAUCGACUCCCGUGGUGGUGACGGAUAACGGAGGAUCAGGGUUCGACUCCGGAGAAGGGGCCUGAGAAAUGGCCACUACGUCUAAGGAUGGCAGCAGGCGCGCAAAUUACCCACUCUCGGCUCGAGGAGGUAGUGACGAGAAAUAACGAGAUCGUUCUCUUUGAGGCCGGUCAUCGGAAUGGGUACAAUUUAAACCCUUUAACGAGUAUCAAGCAGAGGGCAAGUCUGGUGCCAGCAGCCGCGGUAAUUCCAGCUCUGCUAAUACAUAGAAUUAUUGCUGCGGUUAAAAAGCUCGUAGUUGGAUUCGUAUCGGUACCCUGGAUAUAACGGAGGAUCAGGGUUCUUAAAAAUGUUCGAAGAGGAACAUUUUUUUUGACCAUUUCGAGCCCUAUAUCUCAGUUAAAAAUGUUCGAAGAGGAAUAACAACAGUUUUGGUGGAAUGUUAAAUUUAUUUUUAGGAAAUACGAAGUCAAUAACGUCUAUGGGCUGCGAAUAUUCCAUCAAACUUUUUAAUUAUUUUUGCUGACAUGUAGAGAAGGGCAUUUUCUCGUACAAGAACACAACUUUAUAUAAAAUGUUCCCUUAAGACAUGAACGUUUUUAUAACCUAAUUUGAGAAUUAAUCCUGUCUACAUUUAAAUGAUUGUGUAAUAAAGAAGUAAUGUCCUUCUCUAUAUUCCGAAAAAUUAAAUUCAUUACACCAAUAAGUACCCAAUAAAUUCAGAAUAUUGAUCGCACAUUACCAGAGCCAAAUCAUUAUACGCCAAAACGUGAGCUACAAAUCGUUGCAUUACCAAAAAUAUAAUGGGAACAGGUUGGGUUUGAAAAAAUUCAGAUUUGUACGGUGUUCUCAGAAGGCCGAGAAAGCCCGGGUUUUGCAGAAGCGCCUCGCCGACGCUUCCAUAGGUUUACGUUGACUAUUUUGAGCCUCUUUAUCUCGGCUCAAUGUUGAGACUGAGGGCUGAUUUUGGUGUCAUUCAACUCAACUCGUCAAGCUCUUUCGAAUGAGCUUUUAUUUGUAUAUUCAAAUUUUUGACCCUAAAAUCCCCCUAUGGCUUUUGACCAUUUCGAGCCCUAUAUCUCAGUCCACAGGCAUCUCCGGAAAAAAGAGUACCGUUUGACUAUGCACCUCUAAUUACCCUAUAUAUGACAUUUUUAAAGAAAUAAAAAAGGAAAAAAUAAGUCUAAUUUUAGAAACUUUUUUUUCAAUUUUAAUAUAUUUUUACAAAUUUAAAGUUAUUGUUGUGUUUAUUUGAGCAAAUAAUUGUUUUAAAAAUGCAAAGUUUAGAGAAAUGUUUAGAAUUUAUUUACUUUAAUUCCUUGUAAUUUUAAGGUGUUGCGCUUGUUUGUUUUUGCUUAAAUAUUUUCAUUAGUUUCUCUAAAACAUUCAUUAAACAUACCCUUCUAUGCACAAAAUGUUGUUGUACAAAAUAUUGUUGUAUUCCUCUCUCUCUUGUUAGUCUCAUCAUUGUUGUUACUACAGAAACAAACAAAACAUCAAAACAAAUAAUUGUUUUUCCCUUAUAUUAUUUUUACCAUUUACAGCAUCUCCCCCAACAUCCUGUAAUGGAGUAAUAACAAAUUCAGUUCCAUCCCCCCAUCCAUGUCCAUAAGCAGUCAAAGGAUAUGCUGCCUCCCCAUGUUUAAAUCUAUCCAAUCCACGUAUUUCUACUUCUCUGGGCACCCUUAUUUUUCCAAAUGCUUUUAAAAUUAGAAAAGCUGGAGUUAAUACAAGUGCUGACCAAACAAUUAUUGCUACAGCACAAACACUUUGCCAACAAAGUUGCCAUAAUGCUUCGUCAAAUUUAACCUUUUCGGGGUUAAACAACUCACCUGCCGAAUCAACUAGCCCUGAAAAUGGAUGGCGCUUGAGCGGGCCACCUAUACUCUGCCGUCAUAUGCUUGUAUUCAGUGAAGAGUCUUGCAAUGACGUGUAAGAGGGUCGUAGUGGUUGCGUUGAAGGCUUUGGGUGUGCACCCAGCUGGAGCUUCCACUAGUGCAGAUCUUGGUGGUAGUAGCAAAUAUUCAAGUGAGAUCCUUGAAGACUGAAGUGGAGAAGGGUUCCACGUGAACAGCAGUUGAAUGUGGGUCAGUCGAUCCUAAGGCACCGGCUAAAGCCGUCUAGACACUGCGGGGAGAUGAGAUACUUAACGGUAUUUUGUCCACCCGGUUG